CGUAGGGAUCUUCCACAAUGGACGAAAGUCUGAUGGAGCAACGCCGCGUGAGUGAAGAAGGUUUUCGGAUCGUAAAACUCUGUUGUUGGAGAAGAAUGUAUCUGAUAGUAACUGAUCAGGUAGUGACGGUAUCCAACCAGAAAGCCACGGCUAACUACGUGCCAGCAGCCGCGGUAAUACGUAGGUGGCAAGCGUUGUCCGGAUUUAUUGGGCGUAAAGCGAGCGCAGGCGGUUUCUUAAGUCUGAUGUGAAAGCCUUCGGCUCAACCGAAGAAGUGCAUCGGAAACUGGGAAACUUGAGUGCAGAAGAGGACAGUGGAACUCCAUGUGUAGCGGUGAAAUGCGUAGAUAUAUGGAAGAACACCAGUGGCGAAGGCGGCUGUCUGGUCUGUAACUGACGCUGAGGCUCGAAAGCAUGGGUAGCAAACAGGAUUAGAUACCCUGGUAGUCCAUGCCGUAAACGAUGAGUGCUAGGUGUUGGAGGGUUUCCGCCCUUCAGUGCCGCAGCUAACGCAUUAAGCACUCCGCCUGGGGAGUACGACCGCAAGGUUGAAACUCAAAGGAAUUGACGGGCC
rnacentral:rRNA from 1 species